rnacentral:tRNA from 1 species
GAGGGCACAGCUCAGUGGUGGAGCGCAGGCUUGGCAUGCCUGAGGUCCUGGGUUCAAUCCCCAGUGCCUCCA